GCAUAUCAAUAAGCGGAGGAAAAGAAACCAACAGGGAUUGCCCUAGUAACGGCGAGUGAAGCGGCAACAGCUCAAAUUUGAAAUCUGGCUCCCUUGGGGGUCCGAGUUGUAAUUUGUAGAGGGUGCUUUGGUGUUAGCUGUGGUCUAAGUCCCUUGGAACAGGGCGUCGCAGAGGGUGAGAAUCCCGUAUGUGGCCAGCAGCUUUCGCCUUGUAAAGCCCCUUCGACGAGUCGAGUUGUUUGGGAAUGCAGCUCUAAAUGGGAGGUAAAUUUCUUCUAAAGCUAAAUAUUGGCCAGAGACCGAUAGCGCACAAGUAGAGUGAUCGAAAGAUGAAAAGCACUUUGGAAAGAGAGUCAAAAAGCACGUGAAAUUGUUGAAAGGGAAGCGCUUGCAGCCAGACUUGCCCGUAGUUGCUCAUCCAGGCCUUGUGUCUGGUGCACUCUUCUGCGGGCAGGCCAGCAUCAGUUCAGGCGGUCGGAUAAAGGCUCUGGGAAUGUGGCUCCUCUUGGGGAGUGUUAUAGCCCAGGGUGCAAUGCGGCCAGCUUGGACUGAGGUCCGCGCUUCUGCUAGGAUGCUGGCGUAAUGGCUGUAAGCGGCCCGUCUUGAAACACGGACCAAGGAGUCUAACAUCUAUGCGAGUGUUUGGGUGUCAAGCCCGAGCGCGCAAUGAAAGUGAACGGAGGUGGGAACCCCUUGGGGUGCACCAUCGACCGAUCCUGAUGUCUUCGGAUGGAUUUGAGUAAGAGCAUAGCUGUUGGGACCCGAAAGAUGGUGAACUAUGCCUGAAUAGGGUGAAGCCAGAGGAAACUCUGGUGGAGGCUCGCAGCGGUUCUGACGUGCAAAUCGAUCGUCAAAUUUGGGCAUAGGGGCGAAAGACUAAUCGAACUAUCUAGUAGCUGGUUCCUGC
rnacentral:rRNA from 1 species